rnacentral:rRNA from 1 species
UACGAAGGGGGCUAGCGUUGCUCGGAAUCACUGGGCGUAAAGGGUGCGUAGGCGGGUCUUUUAAGUCAGGGGUGAAAUCCUGGAGCUCAACUCCAGAACUGCCUUUGAUACUGAAGAUCUUGAGUUCGGGAGAGGUGAGUGGAACUGCGAGUGUAGAGGUGAAAUUCGUAGAUAUUCGCAAGAACACCAGUGGCGGAGGCGGCUCACUGGCCCGAUACUGACGCUGAGGCACGAAAGCGUGGGGAGCAAACAGGG